UUGAAGCUAAGCGGCUAGUCUUUAGUGCUCAUCGUGUGAUCUUUUUCAUUUGUGAAGCACAAACAGCGGCUUUCCGUCGGCGCCGUUUGCCGUUGAAGUUGUAGCAGAUGGUUGCUUGCAUUCCUUUCUCUCGAAUUCUUGCAGAUUGAGCCGUUAUUCAAGCAGUGUUUCUGCGGUGAUUGCUCCUUGCAUUCGGUUGUACCCUUUCCAGGAUAUCCUUUGUACCAGAAGUUUAAGCUAUACCCCUAUAAUUAGGAAGAAGGGUGUACAAAGUUCUUUGGACAUGUCCGAGAAGCAGAAAUUUGCACAAGUUUGGAGACCAAUCUCUUCAGAGUC